AACUUCCGUUAAUUGAUUAUGANGUGCUUGCACUGAAUGAGAUUUUAACACGAAGUGAGUGGCGGACGGGUGAGUAACACGUGGGUAACCUGCCCAGAAGCAGGGGAUAACACCUGGAAACAGAUGCUAAUACCGUAUAACAGAGAAAACCGCCUGGUUUUCUUUUAAAAGAUGGCUCUGCUAUCACUUCUGGAUGGACCCGCGGCGCAUUANCUAGUUGGUGAGGUAACGGCUCACCAAGGCGAUGAUGCGUAGCCGACCUGAGAGGGUAAUCGGCCACAUUGGGACUGAGACACGGCCCAGACUCCUACGGGAGGCAGCAGUAGGGAAUCUUCCACAAUGGACGCAAGUCUGAUGGAGCAACGCCGCGUGAGUGAAGAAGGGUUUCGGCUCGUAAAGCUCUGUUGUUAAAGAAGAACGUGGGUGAGAGUAACUGUUCACCCNNNGACGGUAUUUAACCAGAAAGCCACGGCUAACUACGUGCCAGCAGCCGCGGUAAUACGUAGGUGGCAAGCGUUAUCCGGAUUUAUUGGGCGUAAAGCGAGCGCAGGCGGUCUUUUAAGUCUAAUGUGAAAGCCUUCGGCUCAACCGAAGAAGUGCAUUGGANACUGGGAGACUUGAGUGCAGAAGAGGACAGUGGAACUCCAUGUGUAGCGGUGAAAUGCGUAGAUAUAUGGAAGAACACCAGUGGCGAANGNGGCUGUCUGGUCUGUAACUGANGCUNAGGCUCGAAAGCAUGGGUAGCGAACAGGAUUAGAUACCCUGGUAGUCNNUGCC
rnacentral:rRNA from 3 species